rnacentral:rRNA from 1 species
ACGGGAGGCAGCAGUGGGGAAUAUUGGGCAAUGGACGAAAGUCUGACCCAGCAACGCCGCGUGAGGGAAGAAGGGUUUCGGCUCGUAAACCUCUGUCGUGUGGGACGAAGAAAAUGACGGUACCACACAAGGAAGCCCCGGCUAACUACGUGCCAGCAGCCGCGGUAAUACGUAGGGGGCGAGCGUUGUCCGGAAUGAUUGGGCGUAAAGGGCGCGUAGGCGGCCUGGUAAGUCUGGAGUGAAAGUCCUGCUUUCAAGGUGGGAAUUGCUUUGGAUACUGUCGGGCUGGAGUGCAGGAGAGGAAAGCGGAAUUACCGGUGUAGCGGUGAAAUGCGUAGAGAUCGGUAGGAACACCAGUGGCGAAGGCGGCUUUCUGGACUGUAACUGACGCUGAGGCGCGAAAGCGUGGGGAGCAAACAGGAUUAGAUACCCUGGUA